rnacentral:rRNA from 1 species
UAGGGAAUCUUCGGCAAUGGACGAAAGUCUGACCGAGCAACGCCGCGUGAGUGAAGAAGGUUUUCGGAUCGUAAAACUCUGUUGUUAGAGAAGAACAAGGACGUUAGUAACUGAACGUCCACUGACGGUAUCUAACCAGAAAGCCACGGCUAACUACGUGCCAGCAGCCGCGGUAAUACGUAGGUGGCAAGCGUUGUCCGGAUUUAUUGGGCGUAAAGCGAGCGCAGGCGGUUUCUUAAGUCUGAUGUGAAAGCCCCCGGCUCAACCGGGGAGGGUCAUUGGAAACUGGGAGACUUGAGUGCAGAAGAGGAGAGUGGAAUUCCAUGUGUAGCGGUGAAAUGCGUAGAUAUAUGGAGGAACACCAGUGGCGAAGGCGGCUCUCUGGUCUGUAACUGACGCUGAGGCUCGAAAGCGUGGGGAGCAAACAGG